rnacentral:rRNA from 1 species
AGUCUGAACGCUGGCGGCGUGGCUAAGACAUGCAAGUCGAACGGUGUAGCAAUACACAGUGGCGGACGGGUGAGUAAUGUAUCGCUAAUGUACCCCGAUGUCUGGGAUAGCUAGUCGAAAGAUUAGGUAAUACCAGAUGAGACCACAGAACCGCAUGGUUCGGUGCGUCAAAGGGUCACCGCAUUGGGCGCAGGCGAUAUCGUAUCAGCUAGUUGGUGAGGUAACGCUCGACCAAGGCGACGACGCGUAGCCGGCUGAGAGGUCGGCCGGCCACAGUUGGGACUGAGACACUCGCCAGACCUCCGUACGGGGGCUGCAGUAACGAAUC